rnacentral:tRNA from 1 species
GGCCUCGUAGCUCAGCUGGUAAGGCGGGCGCAUACAAAGCGUUGGUUCGAAUCCCACCGAGGUUA